rnacentral:rRNA from 1 species
CAAUAGCGUACAUUAAAGUUGUUGCGGUAAAAAAGCUCGUAGUUGGAUUUCUGUUGAGAGCGACCGGUCCAUACCAUGUAUGCGUAUCUGGCUUGCUCUCGGCAUCCUCUCGAUAGACGUUGCUGCGCUUGAUUGCGUGGCGCGGAUCUCGGGACUUUUACUUUGAGGAAAUUAGAGUGUUCACGGCAGGCUUUCGCCAGAAUACAUUAGCAUGGAAUAAUACUAUAGGAUCUUGGUUCUAUUUUGUUGGUUUCUAGAAUUGAGAUAAUGAUUAAUAGGGACAAUUGGGGGCAUUCGUAUCAACACGUCAGAGGUGGAAUUCUUGGAUUGUGUUGCGACGAACUACUGCGAAAGCAUUUGCCAAGGAUGUUUUCAUUGA